AAAAAGUCGCUGGGUGCCCAAAAAAUGGCCCAAAGCUCCUCUUGGUGCCCCCCAAACGUCCCCAGGUGCCCCUGGGUGCCCCAAAACCCACCCCCAGGUCCCUCUGGGAGCCCCAAAAAUGUCCCCAGGUCCCCCUGGGCGCCCAAAAAACAUCCCCAAGUCCCCCCCAAAACAUCCCCAGGUCACUCUAGGAGCCAAAAAAAUGUCCCCAGGUGCCC